rnacentral:rRNA from 1 species
UACAGAGGCCUCGAGCGUUAGGCGGAAUCACUGGGCUUAAAGCGUGUGUAGGCGGACGGGUAAGUACCUUGUGAAAUCCCACGGCUCAACCGUGGAACCGCUUGGUAUACUGCUUGUCUUGAGCCACUUAGGGGUUACCGGAACAAAUGGUGGAGCGGUGAAAUGCGUAGAUAUCUGGAGGAACACCGGUGGCGAAGGCGGCAUCCUGGACCGGCAUUGACGCUGAGGCGCGAAAGCGUGGGGGAGCGAACAGG